rnacentral:lncRNA from 1 species
CAGAUCCAAGCCAUGUCUGCGACCUACACCACAGCUCAUGGCAACACUGGAUCCUUAACCCACUGAGCAAGGCCGUGGAUCGAACCUGCGUCCUCAUGGAUACUAGUCAGAUUCGUUUCUGCUGUGCCACACGGGGCCUUGAAAUACGGUUGGGGUCUGAAUAUGGAACAGUGCAGAGAAGAGGGACGGGCACCCCACAUGGAUGAGCAGUGAGAAAAAGAGCUUGGUGGAAAGAGUGGGGGCGCGCCUGGGGACGGCAAGGAAGCCGGGUCCAGGAGGCAGAGGAUGUGCGGGGAAGGCGGAAGAUGUGGUUGACUGAGAGGUGGCCAUGGGAAGCUCGAGUGAACCACAUCGAAGCCCUCCGUCUAGCGUCGCUUUGCAGUCGUGUGUGUGUGAUUACUGUCCACCCAUCCAUAGGGCCACCCCGCUACCCUGUGAGCACAGGGGCAUAUGUUUUAUCAUGGACACUGGUAUGUGUAAAGACUUGCGUGUGCCAGACACACCUGGCUCAAAUGGGAGUGCAGCUCUUCCUCAGUUUUGUGUAAUUGCUGGUCACUGAGCUCCAGCGGAGAGCCAUGCCUGGCACUCUGAGACUGACACGCUACCUGCUGUGCUAACAAGGCACCUCAAUGCCUGGCACUAGAUGCUGGAGCGUGAGGACAAACAGGUUGAGAUCUAAAAAGUAAGACUUGGACUGGGGCUGUCCUUAGACUCACCUGAGUCCUUCAGACCUUCCUUCCUGCAGAACCUGGGGAGAUGUUGGGCUGAAGACUGAGGAUGCAGACACCGCGUCUGCCAUCUUCGUCCCAGCAGCUUCCACGCCAAUGCUGAGCUGCCACUGUUCUGCCUUGGGGCCAGACGAAAGGCCGUGUUCUCAUCCAGCGCCCCCUCUGAAAAAGCAGUUUGGUACCUUCUUAUAUACACCCACAAGGCUGGCCCCAGAUUGCAAGGAAUAUUCAGAAGUGGUUUUCAAUGAUAACAUCCAGCUAACUCCUCUAAACCCAGGAGGCCUGGAGGCUGUUUAUCUCAAGGAAGAUGCCUGGAGCCUUCCCCCCGGACAUAAAUGGAGGAUCCCAGAACGUGUGAACAUGCAUCCUCUGACUGGGUACCGGUCAGCUGUCCCCCCGCCCCCACCACCAGGCACAGGAACCAAGGCAGAGGGCGGGAGGCAGGAGAGGCCAAAGUCCUUACCUGCUUCUGAGCCCAGGUUUUCCUGGCAGAGCUGGGAAGCGGGAAGUAUCUCCCUACCUGCCUCUAGCCCUGAGAUGCUGAGAAGGAAGCCAGGACCCCGAGGGAGGCUUUGGAUCUCUGCAGGACUGUGCCUGUGCCAUCUCUGGCACCAGUCUUUACUGAGCCCCCAGCAGGUUACCGUAGCAUCCAGUCUGGUCUGGCCUGGCACCUAAGAGAUUGGGUUUUAAAACGAGGGCCUAUCUACAAAAAAUAAAGUAAUAGUGACAGCUAAAUUUAUCAAGUAGUUACUCUGUUCCAGGUGUGGUGCUAAGUGUUUGCUUUGCAUUCGCUCAUUUAAGCCUCCCCGUGACUCUGGAAUAAUUGUGGGAUUGUUUGACAGCUGAGGAAACUGAGUCACAGAGAGACAUGGUCUCUUUCUGAAAUCACUCGGCCAGUAACAGGUGGAAGUGGACAUUGAACCCGUCUGCCUCCAGAGCUUGUACGCCUCAGGGAAGUCGGCCCCGGGGGGUGUGUAGGAGCCACCAGAGGUCAGAGCAGAGAGGUCAGCUGCUGACCAGCCGGACUCUGAGAUCCGGUUUCUCGCUGUUGGAGCCGGCUGCCCCCACUGCUUCAGGGAGGGGACUGCUGCCCUGCUGUAUGAGCCACCUUUGCCAGGAGGAUUAGCUUCUUCCUCGUGUCAAAACAAGCCAAGCAGGAAAAAAAUCAACAACCAACUCCCGACUUCCAGCAGCAAGAGCCCUGCAUCCUGUCCAGCAGGAGGGAGCUCUCCGCUGCGGAGGGGGUCGACUGUCCUAGACCACGUCCUGGUUGUGGGCGUGUGCCGAGAGGGACCCCGAGACCCCCGGGUUUCCAGGUCGGGGCCCCGAGGCCCUGCCAGUGCACAGUCCCUGGCAGCAGCCCUUCUCCUCUGCUCCCCAUCCAGCCCUGUGACGUCUGCUGAUAUCCCGUCCUGCCACGGGCUUGCUCUGCGUCCACGGCGAGCCCAGUGACCGUUUGCAGGGUAAGGACAUUGGAUGUGAGCAGUGGUUUUCAAAACAAAAUGUUUCUUUGUUGCAAAGGAACAUGUUCUUCAGAUGAAACAACUUCUGCUAGAAUAGCAAACAGUCUAAAGCAGAGGUGUCAGUUUUCGUAAAAAUAAACAAGGGCCAAAAACCUUGGGUCAGUCAAAAUUCUCUGCAAAUGGUUCCCUGAGCCUGACUGGAUCUCCUUUUGCCACUCCUGCCCCCUUUGGUGGCCUUUGCACCUUCUGGCUUGAUUGGAAGUUGUGGAUUCUUCGGAGCCCCCUCAGCUUCCUCCAUGGAGCCUCAGUGCGUCGUGGUUCCAGCUGCAUUUAUUAACCAUUUUAAUCGUUGGGCUCCCCCGAACUGCCUGGUGGUAGCUUCAGAGAAUGUGUGUGUAUAUUUGCAUACUACACAUGGUAUUUGCAUAGAUGAUGUAUGCAGACAGCAUAUAUUUGCAUAUGCAUUUAUGUAUAUGUGUGUAUCCGUGGGAACAUAUGUGCGUAUGCAUGUGCGUGUCACAUACGGAGAGAGCCUUUGGAGAGAGGCCAUGUCUUUGUGUCCCUCAGCACCUGGUCAGCAGUAGGCCCGCAGGAGCGUUUCGAUCGCGGGGGUCUUCUGCGUCCUCAGAACAUCUUCUUGCCCAUGUCAGGUGCUCAGUAAAUACUAGCGUCGAAUGAUUGGGUGACUUGGCAGGUCAUACCUGGAAAGUCUUGGCUAUCAAUCUUGGGUCUUGCCAUGUACUUGCUGUAAAAUCGGGGUAAAUAUUCAUCACUUGUCUUAACCAUCGGGUGGGGAUGACAGCGCAUGCCUGCCGCAACUGCUGAUGGAAUGCCUGCCACAGUCCAGGCACGCCUCUCAGCAGUUUACAAAGCAGACAGAGGUCCUUGUCCUCAUGGAGCUCACAUUUCAGCCAGAUUCGAGAAGAGCCCCUCUCCCGCCCCCGACCCCGAGUUGCUGGGAGAAGAGGAGGAGGAAAGGGUCCCUCCUGCUUGGUCAGAGGCAGAGCCACAACCUGGGUUGGGACUGCCACAGGAUGGAGGGGCGCUGGUGGCCUGUGUGGGACACAGGACUCUCAGCGCGGAGUUUACGCCAUGAGAGAAGAGGAGGAGGAAAUGCCAUCGGGGCUGAGCUGGAAGGGUAGCAAGUCUCUCUGCCUCCCCAGGCACCUGCUCUGACUGACCCUGAGGCUGUGCCCCCCGCCCCCAGUCAGCACCACGUGGAGCUGCCCUCGUCUGAGGGCUGCAGCCCCAGAGCCCUGCUGCCUCCAUGCCUCUCUUUUCUAGUGGCAUCUCUUUUACCCAUUUCCAGGGCAUCGCUCUGGGAAAUAGAGAGAGGAGGCUUUGGCCCUGGUCACCUCUGGCUGCCCUGCUGGCCCUCGGAGCCGCAUGUUCAUGGAGGUUUGUCCCUCACCGAGGAUGAUUUCGAGUGAGUUUUACUUGAUCUUGGCUCUGCUUUAGUGCCCUCGUCUAUAAGGUGGGACUGGUAAUAAUUGCACUUACCUCAUGGAGUUAUUGAAAGGAUUAAAUGAGCCUGUAAAGUGCUUAAAAUAGUAUCUGGCUCAGAGUAAGUGCUCUGUCUGUUCAUGCUGGAUGGCUGGAUGCAUUUGUGUAGUGGCGGUGGGCCUGUCUGCUUGGCCCUGUGACCACGAGCUCGCCGUGGGCAGGACACAUCCCACGUGUCCCUAUAGUCUCAGCACCUAGCCCGGUGCCUGGCACACGGUAGGCAUGCCGCAAAUACACGUUAUGAGAACAGUGACCACUCUGGGAACCCUCACAUGCCACAGGUGUGG